CCUACGGGAGGCUGCAGUGGGGAAUAUUGGGCAAUGGGCGCAAGCCUGACCCAGCAACGCCGCGUGAAGGAAGAAGGCUUUCGGGUUGUAAACUUCUUUUCUCAGGGACGAAGAAAGUGACGGUACCUGAGGAAUAAGCCACGGCUAACUACGUGCCAGAAGCCGCGGGAAUACGCAGGUGGCAUGCGUUAUCCGGAUUUACUGGGUGUAAGGGGCGUGUAGGCGGGGGAGCACGUCAGAUGUGAAUACCACGGGCCCAACCUGUGGCCUGCAUUUGAAACUGUUUUUCUUGAGUACUGGAGAGGCAGACGGAAUGCCUAGUGUAGCGGUGAAAUGCGUAGAUAUUAGGAGGAACACCAGUGGCGAAGGCAGUCUGCUGGACAGCAACUGACGCUGAGGCGCGAAAGCGUGGGGAGCAAACAGGAUUAGAUACCCCUGUAGUC
rnacentral:rRNA from 1 species